rnacentral:misc_RNA from 1 species
GUUGAAGAACGUAGCGAAAUGCGAUAAGUAAUGUGAAUUGCAGAAUUCAGUGAAUCAUCGAAUCUUUGAACGCACAUUGCGCCCAUUAGUAUUCUAGUGGGCAUGCCUGUUCGAGCGUCAUUAAGUCCACUUAAGCCCUGCUUAGUGUUGGGAGACUGCUCCAGCGGUGCUACCCUGUAGCUACCCUGCAGCUCCUCAAAGACAGCGGCGGAGUUGUGGUAUCCUCUGAGCUUAGUAACUUGUUCUAGCUUUCGAGUACACCACUUCCCCUGCCGUAAAACCCUUAAUUUUUAAUGGUUGACCUCGGAUCAGGUAGGAAUACCCGCUGAACUUAAGCAUAUCAAUAAGCGGAGGA